GCCCUUGACGAAAUCAGCCUGGUUGAUGUCUUCUUCGUUAGACUUUCAUUCCAGAUGAAGGAUUCCUCUAAGAUCACCUCUAAAAAAUCCAAAAUCUAGUACCCAAUUAGAUCAGGCCUAGACUAAGGUCUUCCAAUUUGUAGAUCUUGAAUCGGAGUAUUCUAGAGAGGGAAGAAGGUAGAUAGAACCAAACCUUGCAGAUCUGUCCUGCUGCAGCCUUUCGUAUAGAUCUGUUAAUGGAGAUCUCACCCGUGCCUCAAACGACCUCAGAUCAACUCUAGAUCUAAGAGAAACUUGUACCAAUCUCAUAGCAAGAGAUUUUAAGUCCUGGACCUAAUGUUUGGAUGGCUGCAAGAGAGGGAGAGGCAAUAUGGUUGGCGGCACAAAGGGGGAGGGGCUCAAAACCCUAGCGCCUCCCCUGCUUUUCCUGCCUUCUAUGGACUUGGCGGCAAGAAAUACUAGGGU
rnacentral:lncRNA from 1 species